rnacentral:rRNA from 1 species
UACGAGGGGGGCAAGCGUUGUUCGGAAUUAUUGGGCGUAAAGGGCGCGUAGGCGGUGCGGUAAGUCUGUAGUGAAAUCUCUGGGCUCAACUCAGAGUCUGCUGCAGAAACUGCCGUGCUUGAGUGUGGGAGAGGUGAGUGGAAUUCCCGGUGUAGCGGUGAAAUGCGCAGAUAUCGGGAGGAACACCGGUGGCGAAGGCGGUUCUCUGGGCCUGUACUGGACGCUGAGGAGCGAAAGCGUGGGGAGCGAACAGG